GACGAACGCUGGCGGCGCGCUUAACACAUGCAAGUCGAACGGAAAGGCCUGCUUUCCCUUGUGGAUUGCGGGUACUCGAGUGGCGAACGGGUGAGUAACACGUGAGUGAUCUGCCCCCAACUUGGGUAUAAGCCUGGGAAACUGGGUCUAAUUCCCGAUAGGACUGCAGGGUGGUGCCUGUGGUGGAAAACGAUGUUCUAGUGGGUGGGGAUGAGCUCUCGGCCUAUCAGCUUGUUGGAGGGGUAAUGGCCUACCAAGGCGGCGACGGGUAGCCGGCCUGAGAGGGUGGACAGCCGCAUUGAGACUGGGUUACGACCCCGACGCCUACGGGCGGCAGCAGUGGGGAAUAUUGCACCAUGGGCGGAAGCCUGAUGCAGCGACGCCGCGUGGAGGAUGACGGGCUUCGGGUUGUAAACUCCUUUCGACCGCGAGGAAGCCACCUGGUUGGAAGGGUGGUGACGGUAGUGGUAGAAGAAGCACCGGCUAACUACGUG
rnacentral:rRNA from 1 species